rnacentral:rRNA from 1 species
GAUGAACGCUAGCUACAGGCUUAACACAUGCAAGUCGAGGGGAAACGACAUCGAAAGCUUGCUUUUGAUGGGCGUCGACCGGCGCACGGGUGAGUAACGCGUAUCCAACCUGCCCACCACUUGGGGAUAACCUUGCGAAAGUAAGACUAAUACCCAAUGAUAUCUCUAGAAGACAUCUGAAAGAGAUUAAAGAUUUAUCGGUGAUGGAUGGGGAUGCGUCUGAUUAGCUUGUUGGCGGGGUAACGGCCCACCAAGGCAACGAUCAGUAGGGGUUCUGAGAGGGAGGUCCCCCACAUUGGAACUGAGACACGGUCCAAACUCCUACGGGAGGCAGCAGUGAGGAAUAGUGGUCAAUGGACGAGAGUCUGAACCAGCCAAGUAGCGUGCAGGAAGACGGCCCUAGGGGUUGUAAACUGCUUUUAUAAGGGAAUAAAGUGAGUCUCGUGAGACUUUUUGCAUGUACCUUAUGAAUAAGGACCGGCUAAUUCCGUG